UAUUUAGCUUUCUUUUCUGAUUUUUGGUGCAUAGUGAGAAACGCAUAUUGGAGACAGAAAUCAGGCAGAAAGAAGAAGCCCUAUCCCAGAGGAAUAGCAGAGUGCAGGAGGAUUCAUUGGUUAAGUCCAGGAUGCCUAUGUUUAACUCUCAAGGCCUAAACAUAGACCCCUUCCAGAGAGAAGACCCCUUCAAUAAAGGCCAGUCCCUUCAGCAGAAGAGUCAGCCAGACAUCGAUGGGUCCCAAACCUAAAGAGUCAGACCCUUUUGCUGUGUCAGACCCAUUCGGUAGCGACUCUUUUGGAGGGAAAGGUGGUUUCGCUGAUUUCUAUCAAAUGUCAAAGGUAUGUUCAAAAGAGAAAUCUCCUAUAGUUCAUCCAGAUCAAUGCAAGCUCAACUCAU